rnacentral:tRNA from 1 species
CAAAAUGUAGCUUAAACAAAGCAUCUCGCCUACACCGAGAAAAUGUUUGAUAAGGCCCAAACCACUUUGA